AGUGAGAUAUAAGCAGAUCAGUUCUGGAAAAGCUUUUGUGUUCUUUUCUUACGGACAGGGAGAAGAGAUCUUGCUGACCCACCCCUUCUCUUUCUUUCUGACCUGAAUGUGGAUAUGUGGUUUGCUUCUGUGGCUGCAAUCAGGUGACAUGAGGCACCAACCAUUGGACCAAGAAGACAACAGCCAAAGACAGAAGAGCAGAAAAAUAAAAGGAAAAGGCCUGUGUUUUGAUAACAUCAAUGAGCAGCAGUACCAGUGCCAAUAGUCACCUGUCUCCAGCCUUCUUGUGAAUGAGAUACUACAGGUAAUGUGAUGCAGCAAUGAAGAAACACUGUUCUUGGCAUAGAAAGA
rnacentral:lncRNA from 1 species